rnacentral:tRNA from 1 species
GAUAGAAUGGCUGAGUAAGUGGUGGGUUGUAGCCCCAUAUACAGAGGAUAAGCCCCUCUUUCUGUCA